rnacentral:rRNA from 1 species
AACGAACGCUGGCGGCACGCCUAACACAUGCAAGUCGAACGAGAGCUUCGGCUCUAGUGGCGCACGGGUGCGUAACGCGUGGGAAUCUGCCCUUGGGUUCGGAAUAACAGUUGGAAACGACUGCUAAUACCGGAUGAAGUCGAUAAGACCAAAGAUUUAUCGCCCGAGGAUGAGCCCGCGUCGGAUUAGCUAGUUGGUGGGGUAAAGGCCUGCCAAGGCGACGAUCCGUAGCUGGUCUGAGAGGAUGAUCAGCCACACUGGGACUGAGACACGGCCCAGACUCCUACGGGAGGCAGCAGUGGGGAAUAUUGGACAAUGGGCGCAAGCCUGAUCCAGCAAUGCCGCGUGAGUGAUGAAGGCCUUAGGGUUGUAAAGCUCUUUUACCCGGGAAGAUAAUGACUGUACCGGGAGAAUAAGCCCCGGCUAACUCCGUGCCAGCAGCCGCAGUAACAC